UAUAGAGAGGUGCCACUAAGACAGGUCAGACUGUAGAACCUUUACCCUUGUAUGAACCCUGAUGAAAUGUCCAGCUUUCUCAUUCCUACGUUCCUAGAUAAGAGGCACCACUGCUAACACACUCUAUGAGACGUUGAAGGUCUAUGAUGACCUCGUGGAUGAGGAGAAGCAGAAGGAGGUCAUGACGAUACUCAUGGAAACAAACUGGCAAGAAUCGCAGGCCAAAUGUAGACCAGUCAGGAACCACAUCUGUGACUUGAUGGAAGUGCCCCAGCCUGUUCUCAAGAACCCCCAGGCUGGUAAAGCUAAGAAGCAAGAGGAUGCCAAUGACCAGAUGGACAGUUAUCAAGAUCUCGUGUCAAGAUUGGGAUACUGAGGAGCAGUCUUCUGAUGCCC